GCAGUCCAUGGGACUCUCAAGAGUCUCCUCCAGCACCGUAAUUCAAAAGCUGGAGGAGACUCUUGAGAGUCCCAUGGACUGC